rnacentral:rRNA from 1 species
UACGGGGGGAGCAAGCGUUGUUCGGAUUUACUGGGCGUAAAGCGUGCGCAGGCGGUUUUGUAAGCCAGAUGUGAAAUCCCCGAGCUUAACUUGGGAACUGCAUUUGGGACUGCAAGGCUAGAGUACGGCAGAGGGGGGUAGAAGUUCCUGGUGUAGCAGUGAAAUGCGCAGAUAUCGGGGAGGAACACCAGCGGCGAAGGCGGCACUCUGGGCUGGAACUGACGCUGGGGAGCGAAAGCGUGGGUAGCAAACAGG